rnacentral:rRNA from 1 species
UUUUUAAAUGUAAUCUUGUAUGAACGGUUGAACGAAGGAAAAGCUGUUUUUGAAUUAAAAUUUGAAUUUAACUUUUAAGUGAGAAGGCUUAAAUAUUCUAAAGGGACGAUAAGACCCUAUAAAACUUUAUAUUAUAAUUAUAUUUAAUUGAAUUUAAAUAUAAAUAUUUAAUUUAAUUGUUUUAUUAUGUUGGGGAGAUAAAGAUAAAAUUUAUAUUAACUGUCUAGUAAAUACACAAUAAAUAAUUGAUUCAAAAUAGAUUAAUAGAUCCUAAUUAUAGAUUAAAAGAUUAAGUUACUUUAGGGAUAACAGUGUUAUUUUUUUUGAGAGUUCAUAUCGAAAAAGGAGUUUGCAACCUCGAUGUUGAAUUAAGAUAUCUAUAUAAUGUAGCUGUUAUAUAAGAAGGUCUGUUCGACCUUUAAUUUUUUAC